rnacentral:rRNA from 1 species
GGGACAACCAGCCGAAAGGUUGGCUAAUACCGCAUGAGGUCUACGGAAGAAAGAGGGGGACCCGCAAGGGCCUCUCGCGAGCGGAGCGGCCGAUGACUGAUUAGCCGGUUGGUGAGGUAACGGCUCACCAAAGCAACGAUCAGUAGCUGGUCUGAGAGGACGACCAGCCACACUGGGACUGAGACACGGCCCAGACUCCUACGGGAGGCAGCAGUGGGGAAUUUUGGACAAUGGGCGCAAGCCUGAUCCAGCUAUUCCGCGUGUGGGAUGAAGGCCCUCGGGUUGUAAGCCACUUUUGUAGAGAACGAAAAGACACCUUUUAAAAAAGGGUGUUGCUGACGGUACUCUAAGAAUAAGCACCGGCUAACUACGUGCCAGCAGCCGCGGUAAUACGUAGGGUGCGAGCGUUAAUUGGAAUUACUGGGCGUAAAGGGUGCGCAGGCGGUUGAGUAAGACAGAUGUGAAAUCCCCGAGCUUAACUCGGGAAUGGCAUAUGUGACUGCUCGACUAGAGUGUGUCAGAGGGAGGUGGAAUUCCACGUGUAGCAGUGAAAUGCGUAGAUAUGUGGAAGAACACCGAUGGCGAAGGCAGCCUCCUGGGACAUAACUGACGCUCAGGCACGAAAGCAUGGGGAGCAAACAGGAUUAGAUACCCUGGUAGUCCACGCCCUAAACGAUUAAAGUAGUUGUUGGGAAGUAAAAUUCUCAGUAACGCAGCC